rnacentral:lncRNA from 1 species
UUGUAUUGCUUGACGAGGGAAGUGCCUCAUCUUCAUUCUUUUCUUUCUGGUGCACGAAGGGAAGGGCUAAACCUUUUUCUUGGUUAAAAGUGAUCUAUUUCCUUCAGAGUUCCUUCAGAGUGGGAGAUUUAACCUUUAAAGUUUCGGGCUAGAAGUAGUCAUCUUACUCGCCUCCGAUGCUCUAUAGAUCCUCGAUACAAACCGAGUCUUUAACUGAGACCAACCAAUUGCUAGAUUCAAAUGGAACCAGGGUCCAUCCAGACUAGAUAAUCAGCCUCUUCAUCUGAUUCUUGAAAGUUGGAUUCUUUUUUCGAUUGAGGGAAGAUAGCAAUCACUCCAGACUGUACCGCUUCAAGCAGCAUCUUAUAGCGAGCAGGUUACCGGCUUUCAUAAAGCAGCCCACGCCUUCUCGAAACUACUCUAGACGGUAAAG